GACGAACGCUGGCGGCGUGCCUAAUACAUGCAAGUAGAACGCUGAAGAGAGGAGCUUGCUCUUCUUGGAUGAGUUGCGAACGGGUGAGUAACGCGUAGGUAACCUGCCUUGUAGCGGGGGAUAACUAUUGGAAACGAUAGCUAAUACCGCAUAACAAUGGAUGACACAUGUCAUUUAUUUGAAAGGGGCAAUUGCUCCACUACAAGAUGGACCUGCGUUGUAUUAGCUAGUAGGUGAGGUAACGGCUCACCUAGGCGACGAUACAUAGCCGACCUGAGAGGGUGAUCGGCCACACUGGGACUGAGACACGGCCCAGACUCCUACGGGAGGCAGCAGUAGGGAAUCUUCGGCAAUGGGGGCAACCCUGACCGAGCAACGCCGCGUGAGUGAAGAAGGUUUUCGGAUCGUAAAGCUCUGUUGUAAGUCAAGAACGAGUGUGAGAGUGGAAAGUUCACACUGUGACGGUAGCUUACCAGAAAGGGACGGCUAACUACGUGCCAGCAGCCGCGGUAAUACGUAGGUCCCGAGCGUUGUCCGGAUUUAUUGGGCGUAAAGCGAGCGCAGGCGGUUUGAUAAGUCUGAAGUUAAAGGCUGUGGCUCAACCAUAGUUCGCUUUGGAAACUGUCAAACUUGAGUGCAGAAGGGGAGAGUGGAAUUCCAUGUGUAGCGGUGAAAUGCGUAGAUAUAUGGAGGAACACCGGUGGCGAAAGCGGCUCUCUGGUCUGUGACUGACGCUGAGGCUCGAAAGCGUGGGGAGCGAACAGG
rnacentral:rRNA from 1 species